CCACCCCAGCCCGCCCCUCCGCUAUUCCACCGGCUACGCGGAAAUCCCGGAGCAGUGGAUUCCCUGAGCCUGUGUCGGUAGGAGUGCGCAUGCUCUAUAUCUGGCAGCGCCUAGGCAUCCUAUAACCUCGGCUCCAAGGGGGCGGUUUUGAAAGCGACUGCUUGGGCGACGGAAGCCAGGCUACACCUGAGUCCCCAACACCUCCUUCCGCAGAAUCAGAGUUCUGUUGGCUACUCCCAGCCCCACUGCGACAGCCCAGCUACCCGAGGCGAGAUGCUCCCAAUCGGAACCUCCUCGCAGGCAGAAGGGCCAGUGGCUAGCGGGCGGAAGUGACGCACGAGCGCGAGGGCCGCGGUUCCGCCCUCGUCGUCCUGGAAACCCAGCCCCCCGCCUGCGUCCCGUGAAUCUCAAGAAUGAAUAUCACACAACUUGGUGAUGACUCCAACUUACUGCAUUUCAAACAAUGCAAAUGCGCUGUGACAUUUUCUCAGAAAUGACGUGUUCAUCUAGCAGAUAAUAGGUGAUCAGUAAGUAUUAUUUACUCUGUUAGGCUUCUUUGUUUUAUAGAUUAUUAAAGAGGUUUCCUGUUUCACCGAGUAUAAUUAGAAACACUAUGUUAAUUUGACAUUGAGGUGAUUCUUGUUCAUGCUAGCAUCUACAUCAGUGGCUGUCAUAUAUUUGCAAUAAGUUUUGGAAUUAACUGAGAAAAACAUACACACACACACACACAAACUACAUACAUCCAAGACUGAAAAGUUAUAAAUGUGAGCAACUAAUACUUAUGUGUUUUCACCAAUGCAUGGUGGUCACUUGUAAAACCAGAGAGAUUUAAAGAUCAGUUAUAAUAUAUCCAACUUAAGAAAAUCAGAUUUUACAUUAAAAAAAGUUUUUUUUAACUGUGCUCCUAGGACUCAGCUGAGGACCCUCAAUGGCUGCCCCACCCCCUCUAAGAUUUUACAUUUAAAAAUAAAGUUUAAGCAAAAAACUUUCUUAAAGAUUUA
rnacentral:lncRNA from 1 species